UUACGACAAUAUCACGUUUAAACACCGAUUUUCGUACGAUCACCGAACUUAAGCAACGCUGUGUCAGAUCAUUACCUAGAUGGUUGAUCGCUUGGGAAUACCAUGUGCUGUAA